rnacentral:rRNA from 1 species
AACGAACGCUGGCGGCAGGCCUAACACAUGCAAGUCGAACGAUAAGCCACCUUCGGGUGGUGGACAGUGGCAGACGGGUGAGUAACGCGUGGGAACGUGCCUUUCGGUUCGGGAUAACCCAGGGAAACUUGGGCUAAUACCGGAUACGCCCUCCGGGGGAAAGAUUCAUUGCCGAAAGAUCGGCCCGCGUCGGAUUAGCUAGUUGGUGGGGUAAAAGCCUACCAAGGCGACGAUCCGUAGCUGGUCUGAGAGGAUGACCAGCCACACUGGGACUGAGACACGGCCCAGACUCCUACGGGAGGCAGCAGUGGGGAAUAUUGGACAAUGGGCGCAAGCCUGAUCCAGCCAUGCCGCGUGGGUGAAGAAGGCCCUAGGGUUGUAAACCCCUUUCAGCGGGGAAGAUAAUGCCGGUACCCGCAGAAGAAGCCCCGGCUAACUCCGUGCCAGCCGCCGCCGUAAUAC